AAUCAACGCUGGCGGCGUGCCUCAGACAUGCAAGUCGAACGCGAAAGUUUCCUUCGGGAGAUGAGUAGAGUGGCGCACGGGUGAGUAACACGUGAGUAAUUUACCUUCGGUGGGGAAGUACUAACCGGAAACGGUUGUUAAUACCGCAUAAUGCAGCGGCAUCAAUGAUGACAGUUGUUAAAGACGGGGGAGUUGGAGCAAUCCGACCUCGCGCCUGAAGAGAAGCUCGCGGCAGAUUAGCUAGUUGGUAAGGUAAUGGCUUACCAAGGCGACGAUCUGUAACCGGCCUGAGAGGGCGGUCGGUCACACUGACACUGAAUAACGGGUCAGACUCCUACGGGAGGCAGCAGUCGGGAA
rnacentral:rRNA from 1 species